rnacentral:rRNA from 1 species
UACGUAGGGGGCUAGCGUUGUCCGGAAUCAUUGGGCGUAAAGAGCGCGUAGGCGGCCAGAUAAGUCCGGUGUGAAAGUCACAGGCUCAACCUGUGAAUGCCGCUGGAAACUGUCUGGCUAGAGUCCGGGAGGGGCGAGUGGAAUUCCAGGUGUAGCGGUGAAAUGCGUAGAUAUCUGGAGGAACACCGGUGGCGAAGGCGGCAUCCUGGACCGGCAUUGACGCUGAGGCGCGAAAGCCAGGGGAGCAAAGCGGG